GUCGAGAAUCUUUCACAAUGGGGGCAACCCUGAUGGAGCGACGCCGCGUGGAGGAUAAGGUCUUCGGAUUGUAAACUCCUGUCAUGCGUGAACAAGGUUGCUUGGUUAAUACCUGGGCAAAUUGAUGGUAACGCAAGAGGAAGAGACGGCUAACUCUGUGCCAGCAGCCGCGGUAAUACAGAGGUCUCAAGCGUUGUUCGGAAUCACUGGGCGUAAAGGGUGCGUAGGUGGCGUGGUAAGUCAGAUGUGAAAGCCCGGGGCUCAACCUCGGAACUGCAUCCGAUACUGCCAUGCUAGAGUACUGGAGAGGAGACUAGAAUUCUCGGUGUAGCAGUGAAAUGCGUAGAUAUCGAGAGGAAUACCAAAGGCGUAGGCAGGUCACUGGACAGUUACUGACACUGAGGCACGAAGGCCAGGGGAGCGAACGGGAUUAGAUACCCCUGUAGUCC
rnacentral:rRNA from 1 species